rnacentral:lncRNA from 1 species
CGGAGGCGGUAGAAGUGGACGUCACGCUCAGUCGCCAUGUUUGUUGUUGGCACAACGAUGGCGCUCGAGAGGGCCCCGGGUGGUCGUCGGGUUGACUGUGGAAGAACAGGUGCAGUGCCACUUGCCCACGCUCCACCAGGGCAGGAGCAGAACUUGUCAGACCCCACCAAUUGCCAACUUUCCGAGAAGGAUCUCUGCUCCCAGAGAGGGUGUGUCUGCUGUCUGUGGUUGCUCGCUAUGUCAGUGACUGGGUGAAGUAUUGUCACCUCAGCCACAUCCUCCAGUCCAG